GACGAACGCUGGCGGCGUGCCUAAUACAUGCAAGUAGAACGCUGAAGGAGGAGCUUGCUUCUCUGGAUGAGUUGCGAACGGGUGAGUAACGCGUAGGUAACCUGCCUGGUAGCGGGGGAUAACUAUUGGAAACGAUAGCUAAUACCGCAUAAUAGCAGUUGUUGCAUGACAACUGUUUGAAAGGUGCAAUUGCACCACUACCAGAUGGACCUGCGUUGUAUUAGCUAGUUGGUGGGGUAACGGCUCACCAAGGCGACGAUACAUAGCCGACCUGAGAGGGUGAUUGGCCACACUGGGACUGAGACACGGCCCAGACUCCUACGGGAGGCAGCAGUAGGGAAUCUUCGGCAAUGGACGGAAGUCUGACCGAGCAACGCCGCGUGAGUGAAGAAGGUUUUCGGAUCGUAAAGCUCUGUUGUAAGAGAAGAACGAGUGUGAGAGUGGAAAGUUCACACUGUGACGGUAUCUUACCAGAAAGGGACGGCUAACUACGUG
rnacentral:rRNA from 1 species